CAGCCGCCGCGGUAAAACGUAGGUGGCAGGCGUUGUCCGGAAUUACUGGGCGUAAAGGGCUCGCAGGCGGUUUCUUAAGUCUGAUGUGAAAGCCCCCGGCUCAACCGGGGAGGGUCAUUGGAAACUGGGAAACUUGAGUGCAGAAGAGGAGAGUGGAAUUCCACGUGUAGCGGUGAAAUGCGUAGAGAUGUGGAGGAACACCAGUGGCGAAGGCGACUCUCUGGUCUGUAACUGACGCUGAGGAGCGAAAGCGUGGGGAGCGAACAGGAUUAGAUACCCCCGUAGUCCCUGUCUCUUAUAC
rnacentral:rRNA from 1 species